CUCAGGAUGAACGCUAGCUACAGGCUUAGCACAUGCAAGUCAGGGGAAACGAUAUUGAAAGCUUGCUUCUUAGGCGUCGACCGGCGAAUGGGUGAGUAACGCGUAUCCAACCUGCCCCUGAGUAAGGGAUAGCCCAUCGAAAGAUGGAUUAAUACCUUAUGGUUCCUUGAAGGCAUCGGAUUAGGAAUAAAGAUUUAUCGCUGAGGGAUGGGGAUGCGUCUGAUUAGCUUGUUGGCGGGGUAACGGCCCACCAAGGCAACGAUCAGUAGGGGUUCUGAGAGGAAGGUCCCCCACAUUGGUACUGAGACACGGACCAAACUCCUACGGGAGGCAGCAGUGAGGAAUAUUGGUCAAUGGGCGGAAGCCUGAACCAGCCAAGUAGCGUGCAAGGAUGACUGCCCUAUGGGUUGUAAACUGCUUUUAUACGGGGAUAAAGUCAGAGUCGUGACUCUGUUUGCAGGUACCGUAUGAAUAAGGACCGGCUAAUUCCGUGCCAGCCGCAGC
rnacentral:rRNA from 1 species